rnacentral:rRNA from 1 species
UCUUGAGUGGAUCCUGAGUACGACGGAGCACGUGAAAUUCCGUCGGAAUCCGGGAGGACCAUCUCCUAAGGCUAAAUACUCUCUAGUGACCGAUAGUGAACCAGUACCGUGAGGGAAAGGUGAAAAGCACCCCGGAAGGGGAGUGAAAUAGAACCUGAAACCGUGUGUUUACAAGUAGUCAGAGCCCGUUAAUGGGUGAUGGCGUGCCUUUUGUAGAAUGAACCGGCGAGUUACGAUUUGAUGCAAGGUUAAGCAGUAAAUGUGGAGCCGUAGCGAAAGCGAGUCUGAAUAGGGCGUUUAGUAUUUGGUCGUAGACCCGAAACCAGGUGAUCUACCCUUGGUCAGGUUGAAGUUCAGGUAACACUGAAUGGAGGACCGAACCGACUUACGUUGAAAAGUGAGCGGAUGAACUGAGGGUAGCGGAGAAAUUCCAAUCGAACCUGGAGAUAGCUGGUUCUCUCCGAAAUAGCUUUAGGGCUAGCCUCAAGUGAUGAUUAUUGGAGGUAGAGCACUGUUUGGACGAGGGGCCCCUCUCGGGUUACCGAAUUCAGACAAACUCCGAAUGCCAAUUAAUUUAACUUGGGAGUCAGAACAUGGGUGAUAAGGUCCGUGUUCGAAAGGGAAACAGCCCAGACCACCAGCUAAGGUCCCAAAAUAUAUGUUAAGUGGAAAAGGAUGUGGCGUUGCCCAGACAACUAGGAUGUUGGCUUAGAAGCAGCCAUCAUUUAAAGAGUGCGUAAUAGCUCACUAGUCGAGUGACACUGCGCCGAAAAUGUACCGGGGCUAAACAUAUUACCGAAGCUGUGGAUUGUCCUUUGGACAAUGGUAGGAGAGCGUUCUAAGGGCGUUGAAGCAUGAUCGUAAGGACAUGUGGAGCGCUUAGAAGUGAGAAUGCCGGUGUGAGUAGCGAAAGACGGGUGAGAAUCCCGUCCACCGAUUGACUAAGGUUUCCAGAGGAAGGCUCGUCCGCUCUGGGUUAGUCGGGUCCUAAGCUGAGGCCGACAGGCGUAGGCGAUGGAUAACAGGUUGAUAUUCCUGUACCACCUAUAAUCGUUUUAAUCGAUGGGGGGACGCAGUAGGAUAGGCGAAGCGUGCGAUUGGAUUGCACGUCUAAGCAGUAAGGCUGAGUAUUAGGCAAAUCCGGUACUCGUUAAGGCUGAGC